CCCCUUUCCUCUAUAUCUAUUCCUCUCUACCUCUCCCUCUUUAAUUCCCUAUUCUCUAUCUUUAUCUAUCUCUACUCUUCAUCUCUGUCUACAAACUGACCUCAUAAACCAAAAUUUCCUUACUCUUCGGUGUACCCAUUGCACACCGAAUUUCGGAAUAUAAAUGUGCAGCUGGCAUAUUCUCAACCGUGUAGGGCAUUGCAGAGAUCAUCAUGCCGGAGCCCUUAGCUGGAAGGCCGCCGGCGACAGAGAAGAUCUCCCAGAAAAGAUUAGCCGUUGAGAGAAUGAUAACGGUAAAGAAAAUUAAAAAAAUGUUGAUGGAGAGAAAAUUAAAAAAAUGUUGAUGGAGACGGGAAAACGCAUUUGAAAUUAACACAAGGAUAAACAAUUCAGUUUCAUUCGAUUAGAGACAUCAGUUCUUUAUAAACAAUUCAGUUUCAUUCGGUUACAGACAUUCUUUCUUUCUCUGAUUGCCUCUCUCUGUCGAUGUUCUGUUCUGUGAUUGUAUCUUUUCAAUGUUCUGUUCUGUGAUUGUCUCUUUCCAAUGUUCUGUUCUUUCUAUCUGUUUUGUUCAAUUUUCAAGUGCUUCUUUCGUUUUCAUUUUUCAUUUUUCUUGUGUACAGCGUGCACGCUUGUCUGUCUGUCUAUUUUUUUUGUCUGUCUGUUUAUUUUUUGUGGCAGAGGAGAGGAAAGACAGAGGAGAGGAAAGGCAGAGGAGAGGAAGACGCAAAGCAACUGAGGGCAAAAUCUUCUUCCAGAUCCUUUUGGCUCAAGAGUAAAGGACUGAUGAAGUGAGUUCCAAUGCAGGCAUGAGAUGCAGGGCCUGCCAAGAGUUCAUAUAACUGAUGAAGAGAUGGGAAGUUUCUUACGACCUGCUUCCUAGAUCAACAGUAGCUGUUCUAGAAGAAAAACAUAUUUUCAAAACAGCUAACCCAGCGUUUGAAUUCUCUGUGUUCUCAGGAAAUGAGUUGAUCUUCACUUGCAUAGCUAAUCCAUUUGGAAUUUCUAUCAAGCACAGAUCCUAUGGGGAGGUUCUGUUCAACUCCUCUUAUGGCAGCUUGGUUUUCAUUAUCUGGUUUAUCUCCAUUAGAUGUGGUUCAGUGGUUUGCUGACCUCAUGGGACAUACAGCUGCAAUGCCCUCUUGGGCUUCUGGCAUGAGACGCAAGACCCAGUAAGAGUUCAUAUAACCAAUGCAGAGAAGAAGAGAUGGGAAGUUCCUUAUGACCUCCUUCCUAGAUCACAAGUAGCUGCUUUAGAAGGGGAAACCCAAUUCAAAAACAACUAUGGUAUAAAUGUUCUUCUAUAGUGGCAGUAAGUGGACACACAAGAUUAUGGGGGUUCACUGGACUUCUACUUCUUUGCAGGUUCGUCUCCAUUAGAUGUUCUUCAUAGGACACAGCUGCAAUGCCCUAUUGGGCUUUUGGUAUGUCCGUAGAAGCCUUGCUCUGCAAUUUGUUGUUGUAGCAUGGUAUUCUUUAGUGGCUUUCAAACUUUUUACAGCUCAUGCAAAUCAUCUAUAAUAGUAAGCUAUCAGCUAAUGGCUUUCAAACUUUUUACAGCUCAUGCAAAUCAUCUAUAAUAGUAAGCUAUCAGCUAAUUGAGCAUUAAUUGAGCUUUGUUGGUUAUGUAUUUUACUGAGUAGUGAAGGAAUUUAGUAAUUUUGGUUCAGGAUUUAAUAUUAUUAUUAUUUUGGAUUCCUUUUUGGAUUUAUUCAUUUCAUUUAACAUUUCAAGUGAGAUACAAGGAUACGAAUUUCCUUGGCUUUAGGUAUGCAGAUUUUAUUGUAUUCAGAUGUUUUGAAAAUUUAUUUGGUGGGUGCCACUGUUUUACAGGAUUAUUGAGGUCAAAGUUGAAGUGCUUGAUGAGGUUGACAUUUCUUGUGUACACCGUUCCUUUUUCUAAGAUGAUAUUUUAAGAGCUAUUUUAAGAUGAUUUUUGACAAAGCACUUGAUGAAGUGAGAUUCUAAUGCAGGCAUGAGACGCACGACCCAGUAAGAGUUCAUAUAACCAAUGCAGAGAAGAAGAGAUGGGAAGUUCGUUAUGACCUCCUUCCUGGAUCACAAGUAGCUGCUUUAGAAGGAAGCCAUAUUUCAAAUAUAGCUAACCCAGUGAUUGAAUUCUCCGUGAUUGCAGGCUACGAGUUGAUCUUAUCCUGCACAGCUAAUCCAUUUGGAUUUUCCCUUGGAGAGGUAAUCAGCACAAGUCUUCCCACAUCAGCUUAACUGUUACUUCUGUAUGAAUUGAUUAAUAAUAGAAAGGGUGAUUUUGGCUGGGUGAGCAGA